rnacentral:rRNA from 1 species
AUUGAACGCUGGCGGCAUGCCUUACACAUGCAAGUCGAACGGUAACAGGUCUUCGGAUGCUGACGAGUGGCGAACGGGUGAGUAAUACAUCGGAACGUGCCUAGUAGUGGGGGAUAACUACUCGAAAGAGUGGCUAAUACCGCAUGAGAUCUACGGAUGAAAGCAGGGGACCGCAAGACCUUGUGCUACUAGAGCGGCCGAUGGCGGAUUAGGUAGUUGGUGGGAUAAAAGCUUACCAAGCCGACGAUCUGUAGCUGGUCUGAGAGGACGAUCAGCCACACUGGGACUGAGACACGGCCCAGACUCCUACGGGAGGCAGCAGUGGGGAAUUGUGGACAAUGGGCGCAAGCCUGAUCCAGCAAUGCCGCGUGCAGGAUGAAGGCCUUCGGGUUGUAAACUGCUUUUGUACGGAACGAAAAGCCCUGGGUUAAUACCCUGGGGUCAUGACGGUACCGUAAGAAUAAGCACCGGCUAACUACGUGCCAGCAGCCGCCGUAACAC